AUUGAACGCUGGCGGCAGGCUUAACACAUGCAAGUCGAACGGAGUGGCGGACGGGUGAGUAAUGCUUGGGAAUCUAGCUUAUGGAGGGGGAUAACUACGGGAAACUGUAGCUAAUACCGCGUACCAUAGGAUGAGCCCAAGUGGGAUUAGGUAGUUGGUGAGGUAACGGCUCACCAAGGCGACGAUCCGUAGCUGGUUUGAGAGGACGACCAGCCACACUGGGACUGAGACACGGCCCAGACUCCUACGGGAGGCAGCAGUGGGGAAUUUUGGACAAUGGGGGAAACCCUGAUCCAGCCAUCCCGCGUGUGCGAAGAAGGUCUUCGGAUUGUAAAGCACUUUAAGUUGGGAGGCGUUACCAACAGAAUAAGCACCGGCUAACUUCGUGCCAGCAGCCGCGGUAAUUC
rnacentral:rRNA from 1 species